rnacentral:rRNA from 1 species
UACGAAGGGUGCAAGCGUUACUCGGAAUUACUGGGCGUAAAGCGUGCGUAGGUGGUUCGUUAAGUCUGUCGUGAAAGCCCCGGGCUCAACUCGGGAAGUGCACUCGAUACUGCUUAGCUCGAGUACCGGAGAGGUUGGUGGAAUUCUCGGUGUAGAGGUGAAAUUCGUAGAUAUCGAGAGGAACACCGGUGGCGAAGGCGGCCAACUGGACGAGUACUGACGCUGAGACACGAAAGCGUGGGGAGCAAACAGG